rnacentral:rRNA from 1 species
UUUGGAGCCCAAAGAUUUAUCGCCCAGGGAUGAGCCCGCGUAGGAUUAGCUAGUUGGUGGGGUAAUGGCCUAACAAGGCGACGAUCCUUAGCUGGUCUGAGAGGAUGAUCAGCCACACUGGGACUKAGACACGGCCCAGACUCCUACGGGAGGCAGCAGUGGGGAAUAUUGGGCAAUGGGCGAAAGCCUGAUCCAGCAAUGCCGCGUGAGUGAUGAAGGCCUUAGGGUUGUAAACCUCUUUUACCGGGGAUGAUAAUGACAGUACCUGGGGAAUAAGCCCCGGCUAACUCCGUGCCAGCAGCCGCGGUAAU